AUUGAACGCUGGCGGCAUGCCUUACACAUGCAAGUCGAACGGCAGCACGGGAGCAAUCCUGGUGGCGAGUGGCGAACGGGUGAGUAAUAUAUCGGAACGUGCCCAGUCGUGAGGGAUAACGUAGCGAAAGCUACGCUAAUACCGCAUACGAUCUAUGGAUGAAAGCGGGGGAUCGCAAGACCUCGCGCGAUUGGAGCGGCCGAUAUCAGAUUAGGUAGUUGGUGAGGUAAAGGCUCACCAAGCCGACGAUCUGUAGCUGGUCUGAGAGGACGACCAGCCACACUGGGACUGAGACACGGCCCAGACUCCUACGGGAGGCAGCAGUGGGGAAUUUUGGACAAUGGGCGCAAGCCUGAUCCAGCAAUGCCGCGUGCAGGAUGAAGGCCU
rnacentral:rRNA from 1 species